GGAUCAUUAUCCAAACAGAACAGGAAAGGAUGGCGGGUAGAGAUCAGACCCAACACUACACUUUCGAUUAGAUUCCGAUUAGAAGACUUUGAAAGGAAUUGAAAGAAAUGGAAUGGGAAAGACUUUGCUUCUUGAUUUUCCUAUUCAUACUCACACCUGUGCACCUUUUGUAGAUCCCUCUUGAAAGAGAGGGUAUCUAUGUCUUCAUCAUAUCACACACAAUGUAUGGCCAGAAUGUUAAUAAUAAAAUACAACUUUCAGCAACGGAUCUCUUGGCUCUCGCAUCGAUGAAGAACGCAGCGAAUUGCGAUAAGUAAUGUGAAUUGCAGAUUUCCAGUGAAUCAUCGAAUCUUUGAACGCAUCUUGCGCUCCUUGGUAUUCCGAGGAGCAUGCCUGUUUGAGUGUCAUUAAAUCAUCAACCGUCCUCUUUGUUUCAAGGAGGGACGGAUUGGACUUGGGGGUUGCUGGCAGCAAUGUCAGCUCUCCUUAAAUGUAUUAGCGAUCGAGUUGGCUAGUCUUUCGGCGUGCACGGCUUCGGACGUGAUAAAUAUUUAGAUCGUCCUGGCUGGAGCGUCAAUUCCUAGACUGUCCAAGUUAGAUAGCUUCUAACCAGAUCGAUGGAUAAAGUCUCGUCACUAUGUGGGUCUAUGGAGCUUAGUUACUAGACAGAGUCGAACACAAGCAAGAUAGAUCGCUCGAGAUGAAAACUAGAUCCAGAUUUGAUUUCUAUCAAGUGAAAUGAAAAUGAAAACGAAUGAGGAAAGACAAGCAAGAGCUUGGAGGACAGUGUCUGGUGGAAGUGGGUUCAUGGAGCUUAGCUACUAGGCAGUCAUUAGGUUGGCUGGCGAAGACGAGCGAGAUGAACACAUAAAGACCAAGGAUGCUUGAUCUCUUUCUUUCGUAUCUUUGUUUGAUUUG
rnacentral:rRNA from 1 species